UAGUUCUUAGUGGCGAACGGGUGAGUAACGCGUGGGCAACCUGCCCUCCAGUUGGGGACAACAUUCCGAAAGGGAUGCUAAUACCGAAUGUGCUCCCUCCUCCGCAUGGAGGAGGGAGGAAAGAUGGCCUCUGCUUGCAAGCUAUCGCUGGAAGAUGGGCCCGCGUCUGAUUAGCUAGUUGGUGGGGUAACGGCUCACCAAGGCGAUGAUCAGUAGCCGGUCUGAGAGGAUGAACGGCCACAUUGGGACUGAGACACGGCCCAAACUCCUACGGGAGGCAGCAGUGGGGAAUCUUCCGCAAUGGACGAAAGUCUGACGGAGCAACGCCGCGUGAGUGAUGAAGGUCUUCGGAUUGUAAAACUCUGUUGUUAGGGACGAAAGCACCGUGUUCGAACAGGUCAUGGUGUUGACGGUACCUAACGAGGAAGCCACGGCUAACUACGUGCCAGCAGCCGCGGUAAUACGUAGGUGGCAAGCGUUGUCCGGAAUUAUUGGGCGUAAAGAGCAUGUAGGCGGGCUUUUAAGUCUGACGUGAAAAUGCGGGGCUUAACCCCGUAUGGCGUUGGAUACUGGAAGUCUUGAGUGCAGGAGAGGAAAGGGGAAUUCCCAGUGUAGCGGUGAAA
rnacentral:rRNA from 1 species